rnacentral:rRNA from 1 species
UCGACCUCAGAGCAGGUGAGAUUACCCGCCGAAUUUA